UACGUAGGGUGCGAGCGUUAAUCGGAAUUACUGGGCGUAAAGCGUGCGUAGACGGUUAUGUAAGUCAGGUGUGAAAGCCCCGGGCUCAACCUGGGAACCGCGCUUGAGACUGGCAUGCUCGAGUUCGGGAGAGGAUGGUGGAAUUCCCAGUGUAGAGGUGAAAUUCGUAGAUAUUGGGAAGAACACCGAUGGCGAAGGCAGCCCCCUGGGAUAACACUGAUGCUCAUGCACGAAAGCGUGGGGAGCAAACAGG
rnacentral:rRNA from 1 species